rnacentral:rRNA from 1 species
AGCGAACGCUGGCGGCAGGCCUAACACAUGCAAGUCGAACGAACCCACCGGGAUUAGUGGCGGACGGGGGUGUCACACGUCGGAACGUGCAUUUAGGUAUGGAAUAACUCUGGGAAACUUGUGCUAAUACCGAAUGUGCCCUUCGGGGGCAAGAUUAAUCGUCGUUAGAGGGGCACGCGUCCGCUUAGCUAGUCGGUUGAGGUAAUGGCUCACCAGGGCGACCAUCAGUAGAUGGUCAGAGAGAAAGAUCAGACACAUCUGGACGGAGACACAGCCGAGACUCCUACGGGAGGCAGCAGUGGGGAAUCUUGCGCAAUGGGCGAAAGCCUGACGCAGCCAUGCCGCGUGAAUGAUGUUGUUCUUAGAAUUGUAAAGUUCUUUCACCCGGGACGAUAAUGACGGUACCCGAAGAAGAAGCCCCGGCUAACUUCGUG